rnacentral:rRNA from 1 species
CACGUAGGAUCCGAGCGUUAUCCGAAUUUACUGGGCGUAAAGCGCGUGUAGGCGGUCUGGUAAGUUGGACGUGAAAGCUCCUGGCUCAACUGGGAGAGGUCGUUCAAGACUGCCGGGCUAGAGGGCGGUAGAGGGAGGUGGAAUUCCCGGUGUAGUGGUGAAAUGCGUAGAUAUCGGGAGGAACACCAGUGGCGAAAGCGGCCUCCUGGACCGCAACUGACGCUCAGACGCGAAAGCUAGGGGAGCGAACGGG